rnacentral:rRNA from 1 species
UACGAAGGGGGCUAGCGUUGCUCGGAAUCACUGGGCGUAAAGCGCACGUAGGCGGAUCUUUAAGUCAGGGGUGAAAUCCUGGAGCUCAACUCCAGAACUGCCUUUGAUACUGGGGAUCUCGAGUCCGGAAGAGGUGAGUGGAACUCCGAGUGUAGAGGUGAAAUUCGUAGAUAUUCGGAAGAACACCGGUGGCGAAGGCGGCGACCUGGUCCGAUACUGACGCUGAGGCGCGAAAGCGUGGGGAGCAAACAGG